GACGAACGCUGGCGGCGUGCUUAACACAUGCAAGUCGAACGGAAAGGCCCUGCUUUUGUGGGGUGCUCGAGUGGCGAACGGGUGAGUAACACGUGAGUAACCUGCCCUUGACUUUGGGAUAACUUCAGGAAACUGGGGCUAAUACCGGAUAGGAGCUUCUGCUGCAUGGUGGUGGUUGGAAAGUUUCGGCGGUUGGGGAUGGACUGGCGGCUUAUCAGCUUGUUGGUGGGGUAGUGGCUUACCAAGGCUUUGACGGGUAGCCGGCCUGAGAGGGUGAACGGGCACAUUAGGACUGAGAGACGGCCCAGUCGCCUACGGGAGGCAGCGGUGGGGAAUAUGGCACAGUGGGCGGAAGCCUGAGACAGCAACGCCGCGUGCGGGAUGACGGCCUUCGGGUGGUAAACCGCUGUCGCCUGUGACGAAACGGGAGUGACGGUAAUGGGUAAGGAAGCACCGGCUAACUACGUG
rnacentral:rRNA from 1 species